rnacentral:tRNA from 1 species
GGAGAGGUGCCUGAGCCCGGUUGAUAGGGACGGUUUGCUAAACCGUUGUGGCGGUUUAGGCCGCUACCGGGGGUUCGAAUCCCCCCCUCUCCGCCA